rnacentral:rRNA from 1 species
AAAGCGUGCGCAGGCGGUCUUGUAAGACAGAGGUGAAAUCCCCGGGCUCAACCUGGGAACUGCCUUUGUGACUGCAAGGCUAGAGUACGGCAGAGGGGGAUGGAAUUCCGCGUGUAGCAGUGAAAUGCGUAGAUAUGCGGAGGAACACCGAUGGCGAAGGCAAUCCCCUGGGCCUGUACUGACGCUCAUGCACGAAAGCGUGGGGAUCAAACAGGAUUAGAUACCCCGGU